rnacentral:sRNA from 19 species
UAGAGAGAACCAAUUUGGUUCUCUCUAUUUUUUUAUAUGUGCUGCCUCAUCAAAAAGAAGUUAGGACAAAUAGCUGUCAACAAUUGCCUUUUGCUUAUCUCUUCAGUUGCUGUGAUUUUAUCAUACAGUGAUAAAAGAUGGUAGUUGCCAUUGACAAAGCAUUGAUAAAGGAGUAAAAUUAA